rnacentral:rRNA from 1 species
AGAGUUUGAUCCUGGCUCAGAGUGAACGCUGGCGGCGUGGAUUAGGCAUGCAAGUCGAGCGAUUCUUGUUUUAGUCUUACUGGAGUGCUUGCACAAAGGUGAGACGAGGACGCUGAAUAGCGGCAAACGGGUGAGGAAUGCGUGAGCAACUUGCCCCUAAGUUAGGGAUAGCUUCGUGAAAACGGGGGUAAUAUCUAAUAGUACCUUUCUUUCGCAUGGAAGAUUGGUUAAAGGCGGGGACCCUUCGGGGCCUGCCACUUGGGGAUGGGCUCGCGUCCUAUCAGCUUGUUGGUGGGGUAAUGGCCUACCAAGGCGUAUGACGGGUAGCUGGUCUGAGAGGAUGGUCAGCCACACUGGGACUGAGACACUGCCCAGACUCCUACGGGAGGCUGCAGUCGAGAAUAUUUAGCAAUGGGCGAAAGCCUGACUAUGCGACGCCGCGUGAGGGAUGAAGGUUUUCGGAUCGUAAACCUCUUUUGUUAGGAAAGAAACCCCUGUCAUUAAUAUUGGCAGGAUUGACGGUACCUGACGAAUAAGCCACGGCCAACUCCGUGCCAGCAGCCGCGGUAAUACGGAGGUGGCAAGCGUUACUCGGAAUUAUUGGGUGUAAAGGGCAAGUAGGCGGCUUGAUAAGUGAGGGGUGAAAUCUUCCGACUUAAUCGGAAAACUGCCUUUCAAACUGUCUAGCUUGAGGCAUGAAGAGGGAAAUGGAAUUCCAGGUGUAAGGGUGAAAUCUGUAGAUAUCUGGAAGAACACCAGCGGCGAAGGCGAUUUCCUGGUCAUGUCCUGACGCUGAAUUGCGAAAGCUAGGGUAGCAAACAGAAUUAGAUACUCUGGUAGUCCUAGCUGUAAACGAUGAGCACUAGGUGUUGGUCCUUCGGGAUCAGUGCCGCAGCUAACGCAUUAAGUGCUCCACCUGGGGACUACGGUCGCAAGGCUAAAACUCAAAGGAAUUGACGGGGACCCGCACAAGCGGUGGAACAUGUGGUUUAAUUCGAUGAUACGCGAAAAACCUCACCAGGGCUUGACAUGUAGGAAGUAGUGAACCGAAGGGGGAACAAGCCGUCAAGUCGGAAACCUACACAGGUGCUGCAUGGCUGUCGUCAGCUCGUGUCGUGAGAUGUUGGGUUAAGUCCCGCAACGAGCGCAACCAUUAUCUCAUGUUGCCACCACAUCCUUGCUCGCAAGGAUGUGAGCACUCUUGAGAGACUGCCUGGGAUAACCAGGAGGAAGGUGG